CCCCCUGAGCUCUAGCUGCUCAUUUUUUCUACUUCUGUUUCUUUUCUUCUUCUACUGUUUCAAUGGAUAAUGACAACCUGCCUCAACUUCCUGUAAUUGGUCCAGAAGUCCAAACUAUCCAAAAAGUGUUUUUAACACAGCAGACAAACUGGGCCAUGGUUCAGUGUGAUUCAAACCAAGACCACCUCUUUUGGUCGGACCAAAUUUUGGUCUUUUGGUCCAGACCAUGAUCCAAGGCACCUUUCACGUCUGCCAUUUUGGUUUGCACCA